UACGUAGGGUGCAAGCGUUGUCCGGAAUUAUUGGGCGUAAAGAGCUCGUAGGCGGUCCGUCACGUCGGCUGUGAAAACCUGGGGCUCAACCCCGGGCCUGCAGCCGAUACGGGCGGACUAGAAUUCGGUAGGGGAGACUGGAAUUCCUGGUGUAGCGGUGAAAUGCGCAGAUAUCAGGAGGAACACCGGUGGCGAAGGCGGGUCUCUGGGCCGAUAUUGACGCUGAGAAGCGAAAGCGUGGGGAGCGAACAGG
rnacentral:rRNA from 1 species